rnacentral:lncRNA from 1 species
UUCCCCUCCCCUCUCUCAAAGCAUCCGAGGCCAGGCCAUGUCUCAAGUCGCCGGACCGCCAUAAGGUUGCCUCUGACUACCGUCGUUGGCCACCGAGUGCGGUGGCCGAAACUCCGAAAGGUACUCUUUCUUUUAUUUUUUUGUAUUUUUUAUGUGUUUGUAAUAUAUGUAUACAUGCGAGUAAAUAGAUUCGAAAAUAGAAAAAAAAUAAAAAAAAUAAAAUAAAAUCACCUUAGGUUUUCGGGUUUGAUUUCUGGUAUUUUGAGUUCUUCCGAUUUGGUGCUUUUCUCCUGAUUUGUUAUUAUUUGCUUUGAAUCACUGUUUUUUUUAUUUAAUGUCUCUAAAAAAACCUACAAAGAUUGUAAGCAGGCCAAUUUGCCCGGCCCAUUGCAAACACAAAACAAAACAAAAUGAACAAAAAAAACAAAAAAAAAACAAUAAGUAUAAAACCCAAAUAAAAAUUUAGUGUCCUAUUACAGUCGAAAUCGUUACAAUAUUCCGUAGCCCAAAUACAAGGGCCCAAUAACUGGAACAGGCCCAAACGGCUCAAAAAUUGAGCCAAGUUUCGGCAAACCCAAAGUCACCCUCUUUCUCUUGCGCCGCAACAGCAACCGGACAGUAGCUCUAUGCCUCCGUACGCCCCAACGUUUCAGCCGCCACGCCACGCCCCCGUACACACACCAACGCACACCCGUACCUGCAAGAAGACAAACAGAGCAGUAGCCAAUACGAAAGCAAAGAAAAAAUUAUAUUUUUCUUUAUUUUUUGAUUAUUCGGCUAUAAAGCUGAUGAUUUUCGACUGUAAAUCUCUUUUUGGACACAAGCAAUACAAACGAACGCAUAUUAAGCACACGGAAAUACAAAAUACAAAAAAAUCAAGCCGAAAUUUUCGAGAGGUGAUUUCGAGUUCCAUUUUCCUUUUCUUUUUUUGAAUAGAUCCUCUUCUUCGAGGUUUGAAUGUGUUUUAGCAGAAGAAAAUAAGAAAAGGGAAGAGUUUACCUGAUUACAUCAUCGGUUCCGUCAUCGGGGUCCCUUGGGCAUGGAAACGGAACCAAAAAAGGGGGCUUUGGGUCUCGGCGGUGGCGGAGGCACAUUAUGUGCUGGUGAAACCCAAGAGUCGGCCCUAGGGGAUGAAAGUUGCAGCGCUGAAACCCUAAUGAUUGGGUAUUUGGCCUGCAACUGGGAAAAAUGGCAAAAUGCCAUUCAUUUUCUUUAAGUCUUAAGCAAAAGACGAAACGACACCGUUUCAAGGGGGGAGGGUCCGCGCGUCGACCGGCUCCAGGACCCGAACCCGUGCCUAUACGCAGCAAAUGGGUUAUUUACGAGCUGAGUCCCUCCUUUUUUUUCCGUGUAUAUUCAAUCACGCCUUGGCUGUUCUGUUUUGUUUUCUUAAAUUAGCUCAUUAAUUUGCAUGCGUUUGCACUUUAGUCCGCAGUACAGUAUUGCGUCUUGGGGGUCUGGAUCAUUUUCACAUUUAGUCCCUGCGCAUUCGCACUUGUUACAUGCUUCCCCCUUUGUCAUUUUGGCAUUUGUUUCCAUUUAUACUUUGUCCCCCUUAUUUUAAUUCCCUUUUAAUUAAGUCCCUUCUCUUUAUUUAUUCAUUUUAUGGCUUAUUAUCAAUUUUUUAGACGCAUUCAAUUGUUUUUAUCCUUGUUUACUUAUUAUUCUUUAUAUAUUUUAAUGAUUUGAUUUCGGUUUUUUCAAUCCCUUUUAUAAUGUUUCUCACAUACACUACUGUAUAUACAUAUAUACUUUAUAUUAAAGUGAUUUUUUCUUUAUUUCAUAUAUAUUAUUAUUAACCUUAUAUUUUUUAUACAGAUGGUUUUUUUUUUAAGUUUAUUCUUAUAUUUUAUUAUGUAGUCCAACGUAAUAUAUCUCUUAAAUUAUUAUCAUACAUAUGUACAUAUUUAUUGAUACUCAUUUCUUAAUUUAUAUAUAUAUGUUACUAAAUCCAUGUAUCUUAUACAUGUAGUUCUCCUUAUAUAUAAGCAUGUUUUUUCAAAUCUAUUAUGUAUAGAAUAUAUAAUAAGACUAAUCUAGCCCUAUAUAUAUUAUCACAUCUAUGUUAUUUUACAUGCAUUUGUUUUUUUACACCUAUAUGUAUAUAUAUUAAUACACUUAUUGCUUUAAUAGUUUUUUUAUUUAAAACAUUUUUUGCUUUGUGAUUUAUCAAGUAUUUUCUCUCUCUCUCUAUAUAUGAAAUAAUUUUCGAAAAGUCAUUGUUUCUUUUUGUAAUUAUAAAAUUCGUAUCGUUUGAGUAUAUCGUUACAUUAUAUUGCUUUUGUGUAUAUAUAGUCUAUUAUUUUAAACGUUUUGAUAUAAGACUAUGCAUAAUUUUUAGACUAUUUUAAGAAAUUAUAUAUAUCUUGUUAUUAAUUUCACGUUUUUUUUACAAUAAACUUAUAUGUACAUAUGUUUUAUAAAUCUAUUUUGUGUGUUAUGUCUUGUCAUAUAUCUUCAUUAUUAUUCUUUUAUAUUAUAUAUAUUAUUUAAAUCAUCAUGUAGUAUCAACUUUUUAAAUGUACUUGUGUUUAAAAUACUUUACAUGCAAGUCGAUUCAAACUUUCAUUCUAUAAUGUCUAUUUCAAGAAACUGUAUAUCUAGCCUUAGUUCUUUUUUAUAUAUUUACAAAUUUGUCAACCUACAUUUCAUGUGCCCAUUUAUUCGUUGUCCUUAAAAUAAUUUUAUACCUUAUUACGUCUUUGAUUUGCAUUUUGUUUUGUGUAUCUAAUAGUAGUCAUAUCAUAUCAUGUCAUGCAUAUUUUCGUUGCAUAUUUUAUUCAUUGUUUCAUAUUGUCAUGUUAAUUAUUCUCCAUGCAUGGUUGAAAUUCAGUUACAUUUCCAAACUAGUUAUGCUUAGUCAUUUAAGUUCUUGUAGUUGAUUAAAUAAAUUGUAUUAUCUUCAUUUUUCCAUUGUCGUAUUUUUAUGCGUACACAUAUUACCCCAUUCAUCGUUUUCCACUUGAUUUUUGAAAUGUGAUUUUAUAAAAUCCAAAUUUUAUGAUUAAUUUCGUCUUAUUUCAAAUCAAAUUGAUGCGUUUUAAACUAGUUUCACAACUAUUAAGAAUUCUUUAAAACGAAUGCGAUAUUCGAUACUUGGUAAUUCGUGGAAUCGUGCCCUAACGUGUUGGGUUGCAAUUUCUCGUUUGCUCAAAGUAAUCGAAGGUCCCUUUUGAAUUUUGCCCAUGUCUUUUAAAAAUCCCUUAAGCGAAGGUGAUAUGUGAUAUUUGGCAAUUCAUGGAAUCGUGCCCUAACGUGCUGGGUUGCAAUUUCUCAUUUGCUUAAAAUAAUCAAAUAUCCCUUCAAAAUUUCAUUCAUGUCUUCUAAAAAUCCGUUAAAACGAAGGCAAUAUUCGGUGUUUGACAAUUCGGGAAUCAUGCCCUAUCGCGCUGGGUUGUGAUUUCUCGUUUGCUCAAAACAAUUGAAUAUUCCUUUAGGUUUUCACUCAUGUUUGUUAAAAACCUUUUAAAAUAAAGGAUGUUCGAGGUUUGGCGAUUUGAGAAUCGUGCCCUAUCAUGUUAGGUUGCGCUUUUUCAUUUGUUCUAAACGAUCAAAGAUCCCUUUGGAAUUUCACUCACGUUUUCUAAAAACCCUUUAAAACGAAAGAAAUGUUCGAUGUUUGACAAUUCGGGGAAUAGUACCCUAUCGUGCUGGAUUACAAUUUCCCGUUUGUUCAAAAUAAUCGAAUAUCUCUUCAGAAUUUCACUCGUAUUUCCUAAGGUGAGGCAAUGUUCAAUGUUUGGAAAUUCGAGGAAUCGUGCCCUACUGUGUUGGGUUUCGGUUUUUUUGUUGGACCAAAUAGUUGGACAUCCUUUUGUAAUUUUCAAGUUAUAAACUUUCGGACGUCGAAACAAGAAGAUUUUGGCAACCAACUCGGGUUACUCAAAUGUUAUUAAAAAAGAGUCACAUUUCAAAAACAUUUUUUAUUUUAGACAUAAGGACAGUAUCUAAUCAAUUUGGUACCAAUUUUGGGCGUAGUGAGGGUGCUAAUCCUUCCUCAUACGUAACCGAAUUCCGAGCCCGUUCUCUCGUAUUUUCAUAGACCAGGAUCGUUAUUUUAGUAAACCAAAAUGUUUUAUUGAAAUAACCAAAUUCUUAGGUGACCCGAUCACACAAACAAAAGAUCGGUGACGACUCCAUAUUUUAGUUUUUCAAAAGUCGAUUCCCCAUUUUCCAUUAAAUUUAAAUUUUUAAAUUUUCACAAAGGGUGGUUUCGACAGCAUGGCGACUCCGCUGGGGACCUUUAAGAGAGUCUAGCCAUAAAAUCGAUUAUUUGCUGUCCUUCUGUCAAAAAUCGAAAACUUGUUUUGAAAAUCAUGGUUGCAUUCGUUUGUAUGAGUGUUAUGGUUCGGAUCUCGUAGAAUAGUACUGCAUUUCAUUGCGUGACCGCUGUGGUCACACCUUCUAGGUGAGAGUAAGAAACUACGCUUUCGUGAGGUUUUCACCUCCACAUGGGCUAGUGGAUUGCUUUCGGGGUACAUCCGUACCUAUGAUUUCGUGAGAUUUUCAUCUCCACAUGGUCAUAGGGAAAUGUAUCCCCCCGAACCGAACUCGAUCUAUAUGAGCCUAUAAUGGGUGAGGAUUGAGGAAUCUACUGGUUCGGGUACCUUAUCUCUAGAACCGAACCACAUAUAAUGAACCUUAGGAGCUAUCCAUGGGUGGAACCGCGUCGAGCCUUAGUACUUACCCGUAUAUGUGUUGUAAUUAUCGUUUAUGUGCUUGCAUUUUAUCAUUAUUAUGUGAUACUAACCUGUGUUUUGUUUUGAUUAUUUUUUUGCAUGACAUUGCAUACUAAAGGAGGUGUUGAUUCGUAUUCAAUUACUAAGUUAGAAAGUUUGACAUGGGGAAUGAAUUUCUUAGUAAAGUCGAGGAUAACGCGACCGUUCGUGCAUGGUCAGAGAAGCUACAAUCAGAAAAAGGGGAUAGAUUGGCAGAAGGAUAUAUAUCAGAGUUGCAAGAUUUCACUCGCGUCAAUGUAGCACAGAAUGAGCUGCAAGAGUUGAGGGAUAUUUGGACUAGUUGGGACAAAGGGACCAAGCAGUUGUUUUAUCAAAGCUACGGUGAUAUAUCCUACUUGCUAGACAUUAGAGUGGAUAAACAUCUGUUCCGAGAUAUGGUGCAGUUUUGGAAUUCUGCUUACAAGUGUUUCACUUUUGGAGAAGUGGAUUUAGUACCUACCAUGGAGGAAUACACUACUCUGCUCAAGUGUCCGAAAAUUCAAGUCAGAAAAACUUAUGCCCGGGCCUUUAGUGGUCAGACUUUUGUGAAGAAAUUGAUGAGUAUUUCCGGGAUGAGCGAGCCUUGGGUCACUGCUCGAAUUCAACAAAAAAGAGAUAGUAAAUGUAUCCCUUAGGAGAAUUUGCGAGAUUUGAUCUUGACGCAUCCAGACGAAAGAAAGAGGGUCGACAUCUUCGCCUUAAGCAUCUACGGAUUGGUAAUUUUUCCUAAGGCGUUGAGGCACGUGGACGAGGUAGUCAUUGACUUAUUCGAUCGCCUUAAGAAGGGAAUCACACCGGUACCGACGAUAUUGGCCGAAACGUUCAGAACUUUGAGCUCAUGCCGGAAGACAAGCGAGGGGCGGUUUAUUGGUUGUGUACAAUUAUUGAUGGUAUGGUUUCAUGGGAACUUUUAGAAAGUAGACAAGGUUUCUUAUCGGGUCUUUUCCGAAGGUUACUCUCCGCUGAAAAAGGAGGCAGCUAUACAAAGAAGAGAGGAUAUCUCGGAGGAGAAGUGGAUGAAAAUUCUUCAAAACCUCAAGGAGGAGGAUAUCGAGUGGAGAGCUUAUUGGAUGGUUCCUGAUGAGAUCAUGUAUCGAUGUGGUAACUUUGAUUGGGUUCCUUUGUUAGGAAUUUGGGGAGCUACCAGGUAUACUCCAUUACUUGUGUUGAGGCAAUAUAAGUCGAUGUAGUUUGUACCCACGACUUACGGACUUGCUCAGAGUGAAUUCUCUUUUAAAGGUGCUCACUAUAAGAAGAAAGUUCAGGAGCUAUCGGAUGCUUGGAAGCAAACUUGUUGGAUGAAGAGGUUGGCUAUCAGUUCCAUAGUAAUGCCCAAGUAUGACGGAUGGUUUAAGAAUAGGGUUAAUGAUAACGUUCCUAGGCCAAGCUUGGAGAAUGCUUGACCUAUGGGAGAACAAUUACAAGUCACCCCAUCAGAAUUGGAAAUUAUAAGGUAAGAUUUCGAGAAGAAGAGUUCAGAGCUUGGGAAGAAGAUCGAACAAUUGGAGGAAGAGAAGAUGCACCUAAGAUUAGACGCUGAUGUCCAGAGGUCAGAGGCUGAAAAGUGGAGAAAAGGGAAAACUAAGGCCGAAGAAGAUUUAGACAGCUUGAAGACUGACUAUAAGAAAUUACGUCUGUCUAUGAGGACUGCGGGGUUAGGUAAGACUUUCGAACAAUGGCGCCAUGAAAUCCGAGAAGAAAAGACCAAUGCCGACCGGUGGGAAAGGAAAUACCGAGAAGCUCAGGCACGAAACGAAGAUUUAGAGAAGAGUUGUCGGAAAGUAGAAAUGAGCGAGAUGAAUUAAGGGCUAGAGUGGCAGAACUUGAGAAGUCUCUACAUCAGUACCGAAACUGUAACACCGCAAUGGAAUUGAGGGCAAGCUUGAGCAAGAUAGAAGAAAUGAAAGGAAGAAUAUAAGAAUUAGAGGCGUCACUGUAAAACUGUGAGAUGCGGAUCCAGUUUUUCAAGGCAAAUGAGGACUAUUGGAAAGAGCAGCUUCACCAUGCCAAUACCAGGUCAGAAACAUAUAUUACCUUAUGGGAGAAGCCAUAACCUAGAUUCGGGAGGUAGCUGACUACUUGCAAGCUUUAGCGGUACAGGCAGACACACUGAGCGUGAAGUAUGAGUUGGAAUCGGAUCGCGGACAGGAGUUGGCCUCGUUGCUUAGAAAAAUUAAGACUUUGAGUGUUAGAGCGAAAUUUUAUCUGUAACUCAACUUUAUGUAAAAGAUUUUAUUUUCAAGUGAAAUUUUCUAAAGGCAAUUGAAUCAAAAUUGAUACCUCCUUUGCAUUCAUGCAUUUGCAUUACAUCAUAUCAUUAUGUAUUAAAGGUCAUAAGAGGUUUCUAAUUAGUUAAUUAAAAAUCAUUUCAGUAACCUAGAAACCAACGAAAACCAACCAACCACGCACCCCUACGGUACAAGAAAAAAGUCAAUGGAUAAAAGACUUGAGAAAUUGGAGCAAAUGCAAAAGGACAUGCAGGAACAAAUGCAGUCUAAGAUGCAAGAGCAGCUAGCCAAGAUUCAGCGAGAGAUGAAGGAGCAAAUGAUGGAGUCCCAGAAAGAAAUGAUGACCCAGUUAUCCUAAUUGCUAUUGGGAGGAAUGGAUAAGGGAAAGGGCCCCAUGGACAAAGUUGAGGAAACUAAAGAAGAUCUUCAGUACCCCCUGGCUUCACUCUGAGACAUGUACCGAUGAAGCCCGGGAUUAAUCUACCAAAACCAUCUGUCACGAUCAUGCCCCAGUCGGUUCAGGCCAGACCUUCAAUACCAAUGAACUUCCAAACCAGCUCAGGUUCUAAAUUUGUCAACAACCCGAACCAUCCGCCCGUUCCCGAUUUGGAUGAAGUUGCUGAUGAAGAAAAGGCGAGGAUAGAUUCGCAAAAACAAUUGGAAGAACGGUGUAAAUAGCUUGAGGAAAAAUUCAAAGCCAUGGAAAGCACGGAUCAUCAUCAAAGGAUUGAUGCCAAGGACCUGAGUUUGGUCCCAGAUUUAGUCCUUCCCCCUAAAUUCAAAAAUGCCCGAAUUCGAGAAAUACAAUGGAACAAGCUGCCCUGAAGCCCACAUCACUAUGUUCUGCAGGCGAAUGACGGGAUACGUUAACAAUGACCAGCUAUUAAUCUACUGCUUUCAAGAUAGUCUGGUCGGGGCUGCAUCUAAGUGGUAUAACCAAUUAAGCCGCUCUAAAAUUAACUCGUGGAAGGACCUGGCUAUACAAUUAAGCCGCUCUACAAUUAUGUGACGGACAUGACCCCAGACAGAAUCACUCUCCAGAACAUGGAAAAAAAAUCCAAUGAAAGUUUCAGACAGUAUGCACAAAGAUGGAGAGAGGUGCCCAUACAAGUUCAGCUGCCACUUCUAGAAAAGGAGACGACGAUGCUCUUUAUCAACACCUUGAAGGCCCCUUUUAUCACUCAUAUGUUGGGAAGCGCCACCAAGAGCUUCUCUGACAUAGUGAUGACAGGGGAAAUAAUCGAAAAUGCUGUGAGGAGUGGUAAGAUAGAAUCGAGAGAGAGUGCUAGGAAGUCGGCCCCGAGGAAAAGAGAUAACAAAGUGAACAACACGAGCACAUUCAACAAGAGUAAUUCCAAGUCAUUCACCGUAAAUCAACCCAAGAUGGUGACCACCAAUCAGCAAAGCUCUGUAAGACAAGAAUCUAACACGAGGGAAAACGCAGAGAGGUUCACCGUAAAUCAACCCAAGAUGGUGACCACCAAUCAGCAAAGCUCUGUAAGACAAGAAUCCAACAUGAGGGAGAACACAGAGAGGCCACAGUUCACCCCUAUACCCAUGACGUAUAGGGAGUUGUACCAGAACCUGUUCAACACUCGUGUAGUGUCCCCUUUUUACCUGAAUCCUCUAAAGCCCCCAUAUCCCAAAUGGUAUGACACAAACGCCCAAUGUGAAUACCACGCGAGAAUCACCGGGUACUCAAUCAAAAACUGCACUGCGUUCAAGAAAGUAGUCGAAAGACUCAUUAAGAUGGGGAUCGUAAGGUUUGACGAUCCAGCAGUAUCCAACGUAGCAAGAAACCCGCUCCCCAAUCAUACCGACCAAGGAGUGAAUGGGAUAAGCGAAGGCAAGAACAAGAAGGUCAAAAGUGAGGUUAGAGAAGUCAGGACCCCAUUGAAACGGGUGUGGAAGGAGAUGGCCAAGCGAGGAUUUAUCGCGUUGGAUUCGAGGGAAAAAUCUAAAGAAGAGAGGAACUACUGCGAGUUCCACAAUGAGGUGGGGCAUGAAAUCCAAGAGUGUGUGGGAUUCAGGGCCCUAGUACAGAACAUGAUGGAUAAUAAGGAAAUGGAAUUCUAUGAAGAGAUCGAAGACCCCGUAGAGGGAGAUAUAUGUGCGUCGGAGGGAGAAUUGACGGCACAGAAUCAAACAGCUAACUAUCCCGUGGUUAUCAUAUCGAGACCUAAAAAUAAUAAAUCUGGAGUACAAAUGCCACUGAGGGUCAUAAUCCAAAGACCUGCAGUCUUCCCCUAUAAAGACAAGAAAAAGGUCCCAUAGAAUUAUGAUUGUAACGUGACGAUUCCAGGAAAGGAAAGCCUGGUGGAUGCUUUAAAAGAGGGUCAAGACAGGGGCUCCUAUACACGUAGCGGGAGACGUUACGAUACAGUAAAUGAGGAGGUACAACCCGUAAAAGGAAAAGCCCCAGUGGUCGAAAAAAUAAAGGAAAAAGCAACCAAAUCUAUUAACGAGCUAGUUAACGAAGAGGAGGCCAAGGAGUUUUUAAAAUUCCUAAAGCAUAGCAAAUACAGUGUGGUGGAACAGCUAUGUAAACAGUUGGCUCGUAUCUCGAUGCUGGCCUUACUUCUAAGCUCGGAAGUUCAUCGUAGCGCAUUGAUAAAGGUCUUGAAUGAAACAUACGUUGCCAACAAUAUCUCCAUUAACAAACUAGACCGUUUAGUUAGCAACAUCAGUGCCGAUAAUUAUAUUUUCUUCAAUGAUGAUGAGAUACCACCCAGGGGCAUGGGGUCGACUAAAGCUUUGCAUAUCACCACGCGUUGUAAAGGGUAUACGCUGCCAGGCGUACUGAUUGACAAUGGUUCAGCCUUGAAUGUCUUUCCCUUGACUACACUUAACAGAUUACCUGUAGACAACUCUCACAUGAAGGAGUGCCAGAUUAUAGUGAAAGCAUUUGACGGCGCGGAGAGAAGGGUGAUGGGCAGAAUCGAGGUACCUCUUUAGAUCGGGCCACACACAUAUGAGGUGGAUUUCCUAGUAAUGGAUAUCAAGCCCUCAUAUAAUUACUUAUUGGGGAGGCCCUAGAUACAUUCAUCCGGGGCAGUGCCUUCGUCGUUGCACCAAAAGUUGAAGUUGGUAUCAGAGGGGUGGCUGAUAACGAUCAAUGCUGAAGAGGAUAUCAUUGCAACUGUGAGCAAUAAUGCGCCCUAUUUGGAGACAGAUGACGAAGAAAUCGAAUGCUCAUUUCGAUCUUUAGAAUUUGUUAAUACAACGUUUAUCGCGAGGGAAGCAAGAUUUUGGUGCCAAAAUUGUCCAAAACCACGAGGAUGAGCCUACAGUUGACAGUUGGAAAAGGGGCCCUACCCGGAAAAGGACUUGAGAGACAUCUACAAGGAAGGGUUGAAACGCCAGCGUUGAAGGAGAAGAGAGACCACUUCAGCUUAGGAUUUAAGCCAAAUGCAAGGCAAUGGAGAAAAGAGCUGGAAAAAAAACAAGAGAGAAGGAGAGCACGGUUAACGGGGGAGGAAAUCAAAUGGGAACCAAUAAUAUUCCCCCACAUAUCGAAAACCUUUGUGUCCGGAGGAAUCAUUCAUCCUGAGAGAGGUACGACAAUGAAGGGAGCCAUAGAAGAAAGGCUAAAAAGCUUGGACAUCAAUGCCACAUAUGACGAAGAGGCUGGAGGAGAAAAUUUGUCGGGCAUUUGCCCCUACACACCUAGAAGUGUUCUGGAUAACUGGACUGUGGAAGAGAUUCUUGUAGUUUUUAGAACUGAUUCAAAGUAAUGUCCAAAACACACUUAUUGCUCUAGGCCUAGGGGUAAUAAGAAUCUUUUUUGAAAUAGACUGAUGUUUAAAAACGUUAUUUUAAUGAAAUGCAGGGUUAUUAUCAUUUUUGAGCAAAUGUUCUCUCAUUCUUUCAAUUUCAUUCAUAUUAUACAAACGAUUACUUUCGGAUUCUUUUAUUCUUUAAACAUUCUAAAUAUUCUUUCAUUCGUCAUUCAUAAUCAUACCAUACAGAUAAAUGUUUUGAAUUCUUUUGAUUCUUUGUGUCUGCCUUCAUCCUCAUAACAGGUCCCCAGAUAUCAAUGAUAUGAGUGACACUGCUAGUGACUCAGAAUUUCCUUUUGAGCGAGAUGUGUGUAUGGAGGAUUCUUAGGAUUUUGAGGAUGACCAAGGCUGUAACCUAUCUCUUGAUUUGUUGAGAAUGGUAGAACAAGAAGAGAAACAAAUCCUGCCUUACAAAGAAUUAGUAGAAAUUGUGAGCUUAGGAGAAGUACAAGAGGUAAAGAUCGAAACUUGUAUCACCAUGGAGAUGAAGCGAGACCUUGUCAAAUUACUUCAAGAAUUUAAAGAUGUCUUCGCAUGGUCGUACCAAGAUAUGCCUGGUUUAGACACUGAUAUCAUGGUGCACCGGCUCCCCAUAAAGGAAGAAUGUAAGCCAGUUCAGCAAAAACUCCGAAGAAUGAGGCCCGACGUCUUGCUAAAAAUAAAAGAUGGAAAGGUGCGAAUGUGUGUGGACUACAGAGAUUUGAACAAAACCAGCCUGAAGGAUAAUUUCCCACUGCCUCAUAUUGACACCUUAGUGGACAACACGGCAGGACACUCACUGUUUUCAUUUAUGGACGGUUUCUCCGGAUAUAACCAGAUCAAGGUGUAUCAGAAGACAUGGAGAAGACCACAUUUGUAACCAUGUGGGGGACGUUUUGCUACAAGGUGAUGCCGUUUGGACUGAAGAAUGUGGGGGUAACUUAUCAAAGAGCCAUGGUAACCCUAUUUCAUGACAUAAUGUAUAAAGAGAUCGAGGUUUAUGUUGAUGAUAUGAUCGCAAAGUCUCGAACAGAGAAGGAGCACAUACAAGUCCUGAGAAAAUUGUUCUUGAGGUUGAGGAAGUUUCAGCUAAAACUCAACCCAGCUAAAUGUACCUUCGGAACCAAGUCUGGAAAGAUUCUCGGAUUCGUGGUUAGCGAAAAGGGGAUUGAGGUUGAUCCAGACAAGUCAAAGCCAUACAAGAGCUAUCUCCGCCGCGUACCCAGAAAGUGGUUCGAGGCUUUUUAAGAGGAUUAAAUUACAUUGCUCGAUUCAUUUCACAACUGACCGAGAAAUGUGACCCUGUCUUUCGCCUCCUCAAGAAACAUAAUCCAGGUGAAUGGAAUGAAGAAUGUCAAAGGGCUUUCAACAAGGUCAAACAGUACUUGUCUAAUGCUCCGAUGCUGAUGCCACUUAACCCCGAUAAGCCAUUGAUACUGUAUCUGGCAGUAUUUGAGAAUUCUAUGGGAUGUGUACUGGGUCAGCAUGAUGAGUCAGGAAGGAAAGAAAAGACUAUUUACUAUCUUAGUAAAAAGUUCACGGAAUGUGAGACAAGGUACUCGUCGAUAGAAAAGUUGUGUUGUGCCCUAAUUUGGACAACCCGAAAGCUGAGGCAGUACAUGUUGUAUCAUACUACUUGGCUCAUCUCGAAACUGGACCCUUUAAAGUACAUGAUGGAGUCAACAGCUUUGAAUGGAAGGAUGGCCAGAUGGCAGAUUCUGCUCUCUGAAUUUGACAUAGUUUAUGUGAACCAGAAAAUAGUAAAAGGGAGUGCAAUAGCAGAUUUCCUGGCCAGUAGAGCUUGGGAAGACUACGAGUCUUUGAACUUCAAUUUCCCGAAUGAAGACCUGAUGUGUGUUACGGCCGCUGAAGAAAGUGAUCCGGAAGAACUUCCCUGGAAACUAAACUUCGUUGGGGCAUCAAAUGCUGUGGGUAAUGGAAUCGGGGCAGUCUUGGUAUCCCCAAAUGGAGAUCAUUAUCCAUUCACUAGUAAAUUGAAUUUUGAUUGUACGAAUAACAUGGCGGAAUACGAAGCGUGCAUCAUGGGUAUCCGCGCGGCCAUAGAACGCAAGAUUAAAGUGCUAGAGGUGUAUGGGGAUUCUGCGCUAGUGAUUUAUCAACUCAAGGGAGAAUGGGAGACUAGAGACCCCAAGUUGAUCGAAUAUCAAAAGCUGAUCCAUGAAUUGAUUAAAGAGUUCGAUGACAUUACUUUCUACUACCUUCCACAGGAGGAAAAUCAGAUGGCCGAUGCUUUGGCUACCUUAGCCUCCAUGAUCAAGGUGAACAAACAAGAAGAUGUCAAACCCAUCCGGAUGAGCAUUUAUGAAACUCCGACCCACUGUUACAAUAUUGAAGAAGAUGAAGAAAAAGAUGAUGACCCUUGGUAUCACGAUAUACUACAAUACGUGAAGAAUCGUGAAUACCUGGACCAGGCAAGCGAGAAUAACAAAAUGAUGCUAAGAAGGUUGGUCAUCGACUAUGUCUUAGAUGGGGAGAUCCUAUACAAAAGAAGGAAAGAUCAAGUGUUUCUAAGAUGCGUAGACGCUGUAGAGGCUAAGAAAAUCUAGGAAGAAGUCCAUGAAGGCGUCUGCGGGACACAUGCUAAUGGCUUUAUAAUGGCCAGGCAAAUUAUGAGAUUCGGGUAUUAUUGGUCCACUAUGGAAGGAGACUGUGUCAAUUACGCCAAGAGAUGUCAUAAAUGCCAAAUUUAUGGAGACAAAAUUCACGUGCCUCUUUCACCGCUGCAUGCCAUGACUUCUCCAUGGCCUUUCUCUACGUGGGGUAUGGAUGUGAUUGGACCGAUAUCGCCUAAGGCUUCCAAUGGGCAUCGGUUCAUCUUCGUGGUUAUCGACUACUUCACCAAAUGGGUAGAAGCCGCUUCGUAUGCUAGUGUUACAAAGUGGCAGUGAGUAAAUUUUUGAAAAAGGAGAUCAUAUGUCGAUAUGGAAUGUCAGACAGGAUCAUAUCUGACAAUGCAUUAAACCUGAACAAUAGUACGAUAGCGGAAGUCUGCAGUCAAUUUAAGAUCAGACACCAUAACUCGUCACCAUACCGCUCGAAAAUGAAUGAAGCAGUAGAAGCGGCCAAUAAAAACAUCAAGAAGAUUGUGGGGAAGAUGACCGAAACCUACAGAGACUAGCAUGAGAAGUUACCAUUUGCCCUAUUUGCUUAUCGAACAUCAGUCAGAACCUCAAUUAGGGCAACGCCUUUCUUUUUGGUCUACGGAAUGGAGGUGGUUUUGCCGAUUGAAGUCGAGAUCCCGUCUCUUUGAGUGUUGUCGCAGAUAAAGUUAGAUGAAGCAGAAUGGAUCCAGUCUCGAUAUGAUCAAUUGAACUUGAUUGAAGAAAAGAGGCUAAGAGCUAUUUUUCAUGGUCAGAUGUACCAAAAACGAAUGAUGCGGGCAUAUGAAAAAAAGGUUCGUCCUAGAGAAUUCCACGAGGGAGACCUAGUUUUGAAAAAGAUCCUUCCUACAUAGAAGGAUUUUCGAGGAAAAUGGAUGCCUAAUUGGGAGGGGCCUUACAUGGUGAAGAAAGCUUUCUCCGGAGGAGCAUUGAUUCUAGCCGAAAUGGAUGGUAGAAACUUGCCCAAUCCUGUAAACUCAGAUUCGGCCAAGAAGUAUUUUACCUGAAGAAAGAGAGGCCAGAGUGAAAACCCGCAAAGGGCGCUCUGAAAUCUGAAAAAGAAGAAGAAGAAGAAGAAGAAGAAGAAGAAGAUGGAGAGGCCAAAGUGAAAACCCGCAAAGGGCACUUUGAGACCAAAGGGAGUUUUGAGUUGAAAACCCGAAAAAAUGGGCAGCUCAAAUUUUGAGCAUAGGGCAUGCGGUAGUCUUGUCCUCCCAAAAUUAACAAGAGAGAAGAACAGUACAUCUUGGAACAUCAACAAAAUACGAGGGAUCUCCUGAACACACAUUUAGUUCGAAAGAGUCUUUGAGAAAUCGGAAUAGUGGAACUCGUGCUGCGAUAUCUAGGGCACCUCUUUUCUCAUUUUAUUUUUGUGCCUAAACAGAUUUGCUAUCCUGUUUAAUGUAUUCACUUCGAGUUUUACUCAAUAAAAUUCCAUUUUGUCCAUUAUGAUAAUCUCUUUUGAACAUUUUUGUUGAAAUCGUAAUUUUUGGGCAUGUAAUAUUCACACAAAAGAUGUUAUGCAUAUUACUCUGGAAAGUCUCUAAAUAGUAUAAGGACCUAAAAUAGGGCCACUAGUCAGGACUAACCAGGUUCAAAAGUUGGAAACAUUCAAAAAAUAAUAGUCCUAAUUGUGACCAUUUCUUCAAAUUUUCUAUUGAAGAUAACGACUAAGCAAGAAGACGUGAUAGCACAUCAAUGAUAGAACCCGGACGAACUAUGAGCAAUGAUACCUUAAGCGUUUAAAAAAGAAUUACUCUCAUGACAUUUCUACAUUCAUAAUCAUUCAUUUAGUUAGGAGCACUUGAUUCAUUUUGAUCAUAGCAUUCUAAUUAUUUGACAUAAACACCACAUCUAGUUAGGGACAUUUGAUUAAUCUCGAUCAUGACAUCCUAAUUAUUUGACAUACACAGAUACAGGAAACCAAUUCUACAAAUCAUGUCUUUAGAAGACAGUGUAGUGACAUUGGCGAAUCCUACAAAUCUUGUUUCCCUGAAGUUGCAGUGGAGCAGAUCAAAUACGGUGAAUUUAGUCUUCCUGUAGUUGCAGUGAAGCAGAUUUAAGCUACCAACCUAGCUCCCUAAAGCUAUAGUGGAGUAGGCUGAGGAUUGUAGAUCUCGUUUCCCUGAAGUUGCAGUGGAGCGGAUCGACGACGACAAAUCUUGACUCCUUGAAGUUGCAGUGAAGCAGACUUGCACCACCAACCUAGCUCUCUAAAGUUGUAGCGGAGUAGGCUGAAGAUUGCAGAUCUCGUCUCCAGUGGAGCAGAUCGAAGAAAACGAGCCUUAACCCCCUAAGUAGCAGGGCAACAGGCCAAAGAUUACAAGAUCUUGUCUCCCUGAAGUUGCAGUGGAGCAAAAUCAAAGUCAUAAUCCUUAUCUCUCUGAAGUUGCAGUAGAGCAGGAUAAAAACAUGUGAACCGGGUCUCCCUGAAGUUGCAGUGGGACAUAUUGAAGUUACUUGAAGAAAAGAAGCACCGAAAAAGUCAUGAUUCAGUGAAACCGGGCAAAAUUGGCCUUUUUUGAAGUCUUUACUCUAUUCUCGUUACACGACAAUGAGCAAAGAGGGGCAGCUGUAAGCAGGCCAAUUUGCCCGACCCAUUGCAAACACAAAACAAAACAAAAUAAACAAUAUAAACAAAAAAAUAAGUACAAAACCCAAAUAAAAAUUUAAUGUCCUAGUAAGUCCAAAUCGUUACAAUAUUCCAUAGCCCAAAUACAAAGGCCAAAUAACUGGAACAGGCCCAACCGGCCCGAAAAUUGAGCCAAGUUUCGGCAAACCCUAAGUCAUCCCCUUUCUCCUACGCCGCAACAGUAACCGGAUAGUAGCUCUAUGCCUCCGUACGCCCCAACGUUUCAGCAGCCACGCCAUGCCCCCGUACACACACCAACGCACACCCGUACCUGCAAGAAGACAAACAGAGCAGUAGCCAAUACGAAAGCAAAGAAAAAAUUGUAUUUUUCUUUAUUUUUUGAUUAUUC